GUGGGGAAUAUUGGACAAUGGGCGAAAGCCUGAUCCAGCCAUGCCGCGUGUGUGAAGAAGGUCUUCGGAUUGUAAAGCACUUUAAGUUGGGAGGAAGGGCAGUAAGUUAAUACCUUGCUGUUUUGACGUUACCAACAGAAUAAGCACCGGCUAACUUCGUGCCAGCAGCCGCGGUAAUACGAAGGGUGCAAGCGUUAAUCGGAAUUACUGGGCGUAAAGCGCGCGUAGGUGGUUCAGCAAGUUGGAGGUGAAAUCCCCGGGCUCAACCUGGGAACUGCCUCCAAAACUACUGAGCUAGAGUACGGUAGAGGGUAGUGGAAUUUCCUGUGUAGCGGUGAAAUGCGUAGAUAUAGGAAGGAACACCAGUGGCGAAGGCGACUACCUGGACUGAUACUGACACUGAGGUGCGAAAGCGUGGGGAGCAAACAGGAUUAGAAACCCCAGUAGUCC
rnacentral:rRNA from 1 species